CGGAAAGUCUGACGGAGCAACGCCGCGUGAGUGAUGAAGGUCUUCGGAUUGUAAAGCUCUGUUUUUUGGGACGAACGGCUCAUAUGUGAAUAAUGUAUGAGAUUGACGGUACCAAAGGAGGAAGCCCCGGCUAACUACGUGCCAGCAGCCGCGGUAAUACGUAGGGGGCAAGCGUUGUCCGGAAUUAUUGGGCGUAAAGAGCGCGCAGGCGGCUAUUUAAGUCUACCGUGAAAGCUUACGGCUCAACCGUAACGGGUCGGUGGAUACUGGAUGGCUUGAGGGCAGGAGAGGAAAGUGGAAUUCCCAGUGUAGCGGUGAAAUGCGUAGAGAUUGGGAGGAACACCAGUGGCGAAGGCGACUUUCUGGACUGUUACUGACGCUGAGGCGCGAAAGCUGGGGGAGUGAACGGGAUUAGAUACCCCGGUAAUCCCAGCCGUAAACGAUGGGUACUAGGUGUAGGAGGUAUCGACCCCUUCUGUGCCGGAGUUAACGCAAUAAGUACCCCGCCUGGGGAGUACGGUCGCAAGACUG
rnacentral:rRNA from 1 species